UGAUUAGUUGUCGCAUUCUGUGAUGGUCUA
rnacentral:piRNA from 1 species